CCUGCUGUACGACCAGCAGUUGCCUACCAGGACAUGCGCGAUGGGUAACUGUCGGGUGUGAAGCUCUUGGGACAAUGUACUUUCGAAUGACGGCUCAUCUCGGUGACGAGGGGGCCGACACUGCAAGCAGCAACGCGGUGUGAAGG
rnacentral:ncRNA from 1 species